rnacentral:rRNA from 1 species
UACGGAGGGUGCAAGCGUUAUCCGGAUUCACUGGGUUUAAAGGGUGCGUAGGAGGACAGGUAAGUCCGUGGUGAAAUCUCUGAGCUUAACUCAGAAACUGCCGUGGAUACUCUCUGUCUUGAAUUCUGUGGAGGUGAGUGGAAUAUGUCAUGUAGCGGUGAAAUGCUUAGAUAUGACAUAGAACACCGAUUGCGAAGGCAGCUCACUACACAGCCAUUGACUCUGAGGCACGAAAGCGUGGGGAUCAAACAGG